rnacentral:rRNA from 1 species
GACGAACGCUGGCGGCGUGCUUAACACAUGCAAGUCGAACGGAAAGGCCCUGCUUUUGUGGGGUGCUCGAGUGGCGAACGGGUGAGUAACACGUGAGUAACCUGCCCUUGACUUUGGGAUAACUUCAGGAAACUGGGGCUAAUACCGGAUAGGAGCUCCUGCUGCAUGGUGGGGGUCGGAAAGUUUCGGCGGUUGGGGAUGGACUCGCGGCUUAUCAGCUUGUUGGUGGGGGAGUGGCUUACCAAGGCUUUGACGGGUAGCCGGCCUGAGAGGGUGACCGGCCACAUUGGGACUGAGAUACGGCCCAGACUCCUACGGGAGGCAGCAGUGGGGAAUAUUGCACAAUGGGCGGAAGCCUGAUGCAGCAACGCCGCGUGCGGGAUGACGGCCUUCGGGUUGUAAACCGCUUUCGCCUGUGACGAAGCGUGAGUGACGGUAAUGGGUAAAGAAGCACCGGCUAACUACGUG